CCUACGGGAGGCAGCAGUGAGGAAUAUUGGUCAAUGGUCGCGAGACUGAACCAGCCAAGUCGCGUGCAGGAUGACGGCCCUCUGGGUUGUAAACCGCUUUUAUGCGGGGACAAAAUGCGUCACGUGUCAUGUUUUGUAGGUACCGCAUGAAUAAGGAACGGCUAAUUCCGUGCCAGCAGCCGCGGUAAUACGGAAGGUCCGGGCGUUAUCCGGAUUUAUUGGGGGUAAAGGGUGCGCAGGGCGGAGGUUAAGCGUGCCGUUAAAUGCCAGGGCUCAACCAUGGCACUGCGGUGCAAACUGGAUUGCUUGAGUGCGCGGGAGGUAUGCGGAAUGCGUGGUGUAGCGGUGAAAUGCUUAGAUAUCACGAAGAACUCCGAUUGCGAAGGCAGCAUACUGGAGCGCAACUGACGCUGAUGCGCGAAGGCGCGGGUAACGAACAGGAUUAGAUACCCCAGUAGUC
rnacentral:rRNA from 1 species